rnacentral:rRNA from 1 species
AACGAACGCUGGCGGCAUGCCUAACACAUGCAGGUCGAACGAACCCUUCGGGGUUAGUGGCGCACGGGUGCGUAACACGUGGGAAUCUGCCCUUUGCUUCGGAAUAACAGUUAGAAAUGACUGCUAAUACCGGAUGAUGUCGCAAUACCAAAGAUUUAUCGGCAAAGGAUGGGCCCGCGUAGGAUUAGCUAGUUGGUGGGGUAAAGGCCUACCAAGGCGACGAUCCUUAGCUGGUCUGAGAGGAUGAUCAGCCACACUGGGACUGAGACACGGCCCAGACUCCUACGGGAGGCAGCAGUGGGGAAUAUUGGACAAUGGGCGAAAGCCUGAUCCAGCAAUGCCGCGUGAGUGAUGAAGGCCUUCGGGUUGUAAAGCUCUUUUACCAGGGAUGAUAAUGACAGUACCUGGAGAAUAAGCUCCGGCUAACUCCGUGCCAGCCGCCGCUGUAA